UGCAAGUCGAACGAACCUUCGGGUUAGUGGCGGACGGGUGAGUAACGCGUGAGAAUCUGCCCUCAGGAGGGGGAUAACAGUUGGAAACGACUGCUAAUACCCCAUAUGCCGAGAGGUGAAACUAAUUUCGCCUGGGGAUGAGCUCGCGUCUGAUUAGCUUGUUGGUGGGGUAAUGGCCUACCAAGGCUUUGAUCAGUAGCUGGUCUGAGAGGACGAUCAGCCACACUGGGACUGAGACACGGCCCACACUCCUACGGGAGGCAGCAGUGGGGAAUUUUCCGCAGUGGGCGAAAGCCUGACGGAGCAACGCCGCGUGAGGGAUGAAGGCCUUUGGGCUGUAAACCUCUUUUCUCAAGGAAGAAGAUCUGACGGUACUUGAGGAAUAAGCCACGGCUAAUUCCGUGCCAGCAGCCGCGGUAAUACGGGAGUGGCAAGCGUUAUCCGGAAUUAUUGGGCGUAAAGCGUCCGCAGGCGGCCGUUUAAGUCUGUUGUUAAAUUGUGGAGCUCAACUCCAUCACGGCAAUGGAAACUGUUCGGCUUGAGUAUGGUAGGGGCAGAGGGAAUUUCCGGUGUAGCGGUGAUAUGCGUAGAUAUCGGGAAGAACACCUGUGGCGAAAGCGCUCUGCUGGGCCAUUACUGACGCUCAUGGACGAAAGCCAGGGGAGCGAAAUGGAUUAGAUACCCAUGUAGUCCUGGCCGUAAACGAUGAACACUAGAUGUUGGGGGAAUCGACCCCCUCAGUGUCGUAGCUAACGCGUUAAGUGUUCCGCCUGGGGAGUACGCACGCAAGUGUGAAACUCAAAGGAAUUGACGGGG
rnacentral:rRNA from 1 species